rnacentral:lncRNA from 1 species
UGUAACGUAACCUGGAUCUCCUCUUCCAUGACAUAGACCUUGUGAACGUGGUGAUAUGUGCUUGUUAAGAAAGACCUUUCUGACAAGGAGACACCUGAACAAGCCCCUCAGCCCAAAUCUCUUGACUGACAGCCUCCUCCAUCUCAGGCAGUGGACACUCGAGUACUACAGGCACAGAAGAAGAGCAAGAAGGUAAGCUUUGCUGAAGCUCAGUGCACAUUUUCAGAAUCAUAAACUCUGCAUUCUGUAUAUUUAUUUGCAAAAUCUGGCAAGCUUACUUGGAGGUUUGCAGUGCAGUAAGGGCCUUGACUUGUACUUUGAGUGAGCAAGAAAGCUAUGGAAGCAUUUUUAGCAUCCCGUUUUGAAAGAUCAUUCUGCAUGUCCUGUUGAAAGUAGUUAAUAGGUGGUGAAGAACAGAACCAGGAAAGAAAAUGAGGAAACACAGAAUGACGGCUAAGUUUACCUACGUUUUAGUGUCCAUUUUGCAAAGGGAAGCGACAAGAUUUGAUGUUGGUUUGGCUAUGGAGUUAUGGGAAAAUAAAUCGAGGGGUCAAGGAUGGUGUCAGUUAUUUUGUUGGAACAGUUAGCUGGCAGAGUUUCCCUCAUCUCCCCCUAAGCAUUCUGCAGACCUUUUGCUCCAGGGCUGGAAGACUUUGUUCAUCUCCCUCUCUCUCUCCUUCUCAAAACCUUACAGUGUGGAUCUAGGCACAUUCCUGUAUAGAUUGCAAAAGUAGCGGAAAAUUGGCCUGGCUGUUAUAAGAUGAUUGGUGAACUGGAAAGGGUUAAUGGUUAAUUCUGUAGAUAUUCUCUCUUUCUCUGUAUCUGUCUAUAUAUGUACCUAUGAAAAUACAUAUCUGCUUAUCUAUUGGUAUAGUUACUUUUGUCCUACUUUUUUCCAAAAGUGGUUUCCUUAUCUUUAGGAGGAUGGUUGAGUUUAUCUAAAAAUGAAUAUAAAAAUCCUAUCUAAAUAUCUUUAUGCCAGAUAUAUUAACUCCAAAAAUUACCGUAACUAAUAUGUUUGUUUAAAAAUACUAUUUUUUUUUUGUAUAAGUAGUGGCUGGAGUCAUUUAGACAGCUCUUUGAAGUAUGUAUAUUAAAACGUUUGCAAUAUGCUCACAUUCUAGAAAUGCAUAUUUAUCCAAAGUAUUUAUGGAAGAUUAUAAAAUGCCUGCCAUUGAAAUAUCUUCCAAGUGACAUUUUAUACUUAAAUUAAAAGAAAAAUCAGCGUGGGUAUUUGACACUUAAUUACUAUAUAUGGAUCUUCAGAUUGGAAACAAGCUUGAAUACAAUUAUUAGUAUUACCGACAGCAAUUCAAAGGUUGAUUUCAAAUGAAAAACAGUGAUAAGUGAUUGCCUUCUCAGGAGAAAAGGAGAAAGAAGUAGCUGAGCAAGAUUAAGUAUCUAAGGGCUGAUGGACUUGGGUUCUGAAGCCCAAUAACUCUCUGCAGGUCCCUCUUCAGUGAAGCUGUGUCUUGCUCAUCACUUUGAGGGAAAACUCAUAGUUAUCAGGCACCACAUCUAUGUAUCUUUGUGAGGGUUUUGUUCUAAAAGUGCCUUGAAAUGACAGAUAAGACAGUCUCUUCAGGGGGGUGAGUAUAUUUGAGUAGGGGAGUGUAAGAUCUUUGUUUUAGAGGUCUUGGGUGGGAGGGAGGCGUUGGAAGAUGCUGUUUUUAUUGAACAUUUUCUUUAUGUAAAUAAAGAGAUGAUGUUACUUGUUGGGGCAGUUAAAACACACACACACACACACACACACACACACACACACACACACACACACACACUACAUCCUGCCCUUUGGGGAGCCUGCUCAAGCUGUGCCAGAGGGUGGAAGAACACUUCCAAUGUGGCUGAUACAGGAGUGUGGAGAAUCAGUCAUGCUUUGUCUCCUUCAAGGCGCCUGGAAAGGGGAGGGAGAAAAACAGAAGGGGAAGGAAAUGAGCAGACCUUGGAUUAUGAAGAAAAAUAGAUAGCAGGCAAAGGUUUCAAGGGGACAAGUCCCUUUGUGCUGGUUGGCUAAUAUGCCCUUGACCGUUAUCCAGUAUUUAACUUUAUGGGUAUACAUGCUGGUACCUAUAAAAUUAACUGGUAUCACAAAUUUCAUUUGGUGGCAGGGGUGGGGGAUUGUGCUGUAUUUGAACUAGAAGUGAAAUUUCUUUUGAAAGGUAAAUCUCAAAAGAGAAGAUUUUUAUUUUACCUAUUUCUUUACAUGUUUAUAUACGUACACCUUGCUUUUACUGCAAACCACAUAUGCCAGGUAAUAUUUCAGGCACUGUGCAUGCAGGGUUCAGUUAAUUUUCACAACAAUCUUAAUGUGGAAGUCAGAGCUAUCUUUGUACAUUUACUUAUGAAGAAGCAGAACUCCAGAGAAGUUUAAAACUUUAUCAAAGUUUACAUGACUAGUAAGUAGGAUGUGAGAUUAAACUUGGGACUGCCUGACUCUUAAGACUUAAGCAAAUUCUAAAAGGCUGUACUGCCUUUUGAAUGCUCUGUACAUUAUUUGUACUUUGUACAAAAUGACCAUAUAAUUUGUAUUUCCAACUGAGAUAUUUUUGUCUGGGACAAAUACUAAAUAGGACAACAGAUGUGAACUAAGACUGUUCCAGAAAAAUUGGGACAUGCAGCUACCCUAGCUAUAUAUCAUGAAUGUGUUAUUGAGAGAGAGCAUAUAAUACACCUACCUGUAGGGUUCUUCUUGAAAAUCUGAACUAUUACCUAAUCUGCAUUUAUAAAAUGUAGUCUUGCAUCCAAUUUUCAGGAAUUAUUCAUCACAAAUGGUUGAUUUCCUGCCUUUGCUCAGAUUUGUGUAAGUGACUCAAUUAUAAUCAAGAAACAGCAGAGCAGGCAAUGUAACCAUGCAAUCAUCAAUAUGGAUCUCAUGCUCUGAUGGGACGCUUCUCUGAUAUUAACUGAAAGCUGAAAGGACAGAGAGUAAAUGAAGAAUUUGCACUUUGCCAUUUCCGAAAAACUAGAAGUGCAUAUUCUUCAUUUCACUGGGUCAGUUCCCCAAAUUUGAUAUCUUGGCACAUCUAGGUAUUUUGUGUGGAAUAUCAGUGUGUAAAUAAAAAAAUUAGUCACUCAUAGAGUACAUUGCAAUGAUAAAUAUUUUAAUACAUGUGGGAAUUAAGGCUCAUCAAUAGUAAAAAUUGGUCAUUGGCAAAUAGAUCUUCCUCUAAUCUCCUUUUGGUGGCAUUUUACAGAAGAGCUGAGAGAGCUCUGAUUGCCUAGCAUCAAUUCCUAGACUUCUGCCUUCCUGUUGGGCCUUGAGAACAUCAUUUGUACUCUCUGGACUUUGUUAGAAUAAGGCAUUCAUUCAGUAAGGAAGAGGGUACAAUCUAGGAAACAGACUGUCUGGACUGCUCUGAUUCCAGGUGCCCUUAUCGAGGGCAUCACAAGAGCAAGGGUUUUUCCAGUCCAUGGUUUCUUUCACAUCAAGAUACCUACCAGUUGAAACAGACACAGCAGUGUAAGUACAAUUGCACGAUUCGUUAGGUAUAAUGAUUGGAACAGAGCCAGCAACAUUUUGCAAGGGAUUGGCAAAUACAUAGGCUUUGAUUUCCAAAUGAUACAAUCUCCUCAAAAGGUUUGUACUUUGAAGUGGAGUAAAGGGAAGAAAGUCUUUCUAGCCAAAAUCAAUCUGCCUUGAGUCCCACCAACAUCUGUGCCAAAACUAGAUUCAUUGAACUCCUUUGCACCAACCAUGCCACACCACUGUAGGAAAUGGUCUGUAAGCACCUUUGUACCUUAUAGGCUUUUCUUCAGUGGCAGCUUUUAAUAACCUUAGGAUCAAUUCUUGUUGGUUGGUGUUAAAAUCAUUCUAGUUUUUCUCAAUCCAUAGGCUGAUACGCUCUUUUGAUACACUCUUCUUUUUCUUAGAUACCUUAAAAAAAAACUCUCAUUCUUUCUAAAACAACCUAGGACCACUUUGAAUAUUUUUUUUUUUCCUAUUUGUGGGAUGCUUACCUGAAAGAAGGUGAUAGUCCCAAGAUCUUUCUGGUCAGAGGAUUAAAAACCCAGAAAGAUUAAUUGCUUUGCCUGUAGGAACCCAGUGAUGGAUGGUGGGUUGGAAUUGGAUCACAUGUCAGGAAGUAGGUCAUUCCAAAAAAGUUUUUGUUUGUUUGUCUGUUUCCUACCAUACCACGAUAUCUCUAGGUGCUGAAUGCAAACCCCACAAAGGCAAGAAUUUUGUCUGAUUCCUUUUUGGCUAUAUUCUUAGGACUAGAAAACACUGGGGCAUCUGUAAGUCCUCAAUAAGUUAUUUGUUAAAACUGAAGCAAUUUCACACUGUUAGUCAAAAGAGGGAUGCAAACACUCAGAUCACAAAUAAGAAUAUAUUGAAGCCAAAUGUUAGGAAAAUAAUAUAAGCCCAAGAAUAAAUUCCUUUUUUUUAAUAUUAGCCUAAGGUUGAAUGCAUUUUUUUCUGGCUACAUGUUUGUACAUUUUUGCAUAUAUUUCAUAAAACAUAUACUAUGAAAAGAUUGCAGUCUCUAAGCAACUUUCAAAAGGAAUCCAUCCUGUAAUGAAAUGUAGAGGCAAUUUACAAUUUUGUAGUUUUGUGUUUUUGGGAGAAAAAAAAAAA